GUCGGACUCAUCUCGGGCACAGUCUUCGUGAUUCUUGGAUUGACUGUCCUGGCAGUGGGCUUUCUUGUGCCCCCCAAAAUCGAAGCCUUUGGCGAGGCCAAUUUCGUGGUGGUAGACACGCAUGCUGUCCAGUUUAACGGAGCCCUUGACAUGUGCAAGCUGGCGGGCGCCGUGCUGUUCUGCAUCGGGGGCACGUCCAUGGCAGGGUGCCUGCUGAUGUCGGUGUUCGCAAAAAGCUACUCCAAAGAAGAGAAAUUCCUUCAGCAAAGGUUUAAAGAGCGAAUCGCAGACAUCAAGGCCCACACUCAGCCCAUCACAAGAGCUCCGGGCCCAGGAGAAACAAAGAUACCAGUCACUUUGUCCAGGGUUCACAAUGUCCAGCCCUUAGCGGCAACCUGAAAUCUUUUCCACCCAACCUCCCCUCUCUAAUUUACACCCAGUGUUGCAAGGGAGCAGGCGUUUGGGAGACGACAAGGCUUUGGCGUUGACCUGCCCCAGAGCUGUGCUGGGCAGUGGGCAGAGUGAUGACUGAGCUCAGGCCCAUUCCAUUCAGCGGUCCUGGGGACGCUUGGCGCAGUGGGUCAGCGUGGGCACAUGCACCCAGCCGCCUAAAGAGGUGCAGCUGGGUGCCCACCAGAAGCUCGCUAGACCUACUUUCUCAUACAGUGUGACUUUGUGACAUUUUCCGUGUUCUUGGAAAGCGCUCAACAGUUCAGACCAGCCUACCAAUGGCUAGUGUGGUCCAUUUUACUUUCUUGUGUUGUUUUUUCUAAUUUUCUAACCUUUCCUGUGUGGUGCUGCCUUCUAUUCGUGGUCUCACUACAUGUAAGAUAUUGUCGUGUGUGUUCAUAGAAAAAUCAAAUUCCCUGGUUUUGACCCAAUCAUUGGUCUUUUAGCUCUAACGUAACAUGAGUCCUUAAGAUCAGAAUCAAACUUUUCAGAAUUCUCCACAAACUUUUCUUUGUUUUAUUUUCUCCAGUUUUUUCCAUUUAAGGAGCUCAAAUUGCCAACUUUAGAAUCUUGGGAAAGAAAUUAGUAUUAGGAGAAUCUAUUUAUGCAGUGUCCAAAAGCCCUGAAGUAAAAGUCAAGAAAUUUGAGUGCCUAUUACUAACUAGCUGCAUGAUCUUGGGGAAAGCACCUAACCUCCCCAGGCCUCAGUUUCCCCAUCUGUAGAAUGGGGGUCCUGGUCUGCGAUGUCUUGUUUUGCCAUGUGUCGUUGUGUGUCCAUGACCAAGGACGUUUACAGUGUUCUGUGGCUCUCACCACAGUGGGAUUCUUUCAGAUCUGGACUCCCAGAAACUUGCCAAGUCAGGAUCCUCCACGCCACCCACUUCUAAAUAUCCAACCCCAGCAGUUUAUACAAUGCUGUCAUAUUUUUAUAGAAACAAGAGUAAGCCAUCCGCCUCUAAGAAACCCCUGAGUAGACAUAAACCUUAAGAGGGUUUUCUUUCUCGAAAAAGAUACUUUCUUCUCCUGUAAAGUGUUCAUCUCAUCCCUUUGCAUUUCUGCUUAAUCUGUGGAUUUAAAUCAGACUGAAGAAAACAGAACACGUGAUCUUGAUACCCUCUCAGAACCUGUGCCACCUUCAAAUUCUGUCUUUUUGUUUUUUCCUUUCUUCACUGGAUAAAUAAAAUAUGUGAACGAACAGAA